rnacentral:rRNA from 1 species
UACGAAGGGGCUAGCGUUGUUCGGAAUUACUGGGCGUAAAGCGCGUGUAGGCGGGUCCUUAAGUCAGGGGUGAAAUGCCAAGGCUCAACCUUGGAACUGCCUUUGAUACUGGGAUCUUGAGUCCGGGAGAGGUGAGUGGAACUGCGAGUGUAGAGGUGAAAAUUCGUAGAUAUUCGCAAGAACACCAGUGGCGAAGGCGGCUCACUGGCCCCGGAAC